UACUGGAUACGAGACGUGAUCGCAUGGUCAACGUUUUGGUAAAGAUUUUUGGGUUUUGGGGAUGGGCUCGCGGCCUAUCAGCUUGUUGGUUGAGGUAAUGGCUCACCAAGGCGUCGACGGGUAGCCGGCCUGAGAGGGUGACCGGCCACACUGGGACUGAGACACGGCCCAGACUCCUACGGGAGGCAGCAGUGGGGAAUAUUGCACAAUGGGCGGAAGCCUGAUGCAGCAACGCCGCGUGAGGGAUGACGGCCUUCGGGUUGUAAACCUCUUUUAGCAGGGAAGAAGCGAGAGUGACGGUACCUGCAGAAAAAGCGCCGGCUAACUACGUGC
rnacentral:rRNA from 1 species